rnacentral:rRNA from 1 species
GCCGCGAAUUCGCCCUUAGGGUUUGAUCAUGGCUCAGAUUGAACGCUGGCGGCAGGCCUAACACAUGCAAGUCGAGCGGUAGCACAGGAGAGCUUGCUCUCUGGGUGACGAGCGGCGGACGGGUGAGUAAUGUCUGGGAAACUGCCCGAUGGAGGGGGAUAACCACUGGAAACGGUGGCUAAUACCGCAUAACGUCUACGGACCAAAGAGGGGGACCUUCGGGCCUCUUGCCAUCGGAUGUGCCCAGAUGGGAUUAGCUAGUAGGUGGGGUAACGGCUCACCUAGGCGGCGAUCCCUAGCUGGUCUGAGAGGAUGACCAGCCACACUG